UACGAAGGGGGCUAGCGUUGCUCGGAAUUACUGGGCGUAAAGGGCGCGUAGGCGGCCUUCUAAGUCGAACGUGAAAUCCCCGGGCUCAACCCGGGAACUGCGUCCGAUACUGGAAGGCUUGAAUCCGGGAGAGGGAUGCGGAAUUCCAGGUGUAGCGGUGAAAUGCGUAGAUAUCUGGAGGAACACCGGUGGCGAAGGCGGCAUCCUGGACCGGUAUUGACGCUGAGGCGCGAAAGCCAGGGGAGCAAACGGG
rnacentral:rRNA from 1 species